GUGCUCGCUUCGGCAGCACAUAUACUAAAAUUGGAAUGAUACAGAGAAGAAUAGCAUGGCCCUUGUACAAGGAUGUCAUGCAAAAAUAUAUGUGUGAUCAUCCUAUU